rnacentral:rRNA from 1 species
UACGGAGGGAGCUAGCGUUGUUCGGAAUUACUGGGCGUAAAGCGCACGUAGGCGGCUUUGUAAGUUAGAGGUGAAAGCCCGGGGCUCAACCCCGGAAUUGCCUUUAAGACUGCAUCGCUUGAAUCCAGGAGAGGUGAGUGGAAUUCCGAGUGUAGAGGUGAAAUUCGUAGAUAUUCGGAAGGAACACCUGUGGCGAAAGCGGCUCACUGGACCACAACUGACGCUGAGGCACGAAAGCUAGGGGAGCAAACAGG